GCAGUCGAGCGCAGGAAGCAAGCUGAUCCCCUUCGGGGGUGACGCUUGUGGAAUGAGCGGCGGACGGGUGAGUAACACGUGGGCAACCUGCCUGUAAGACCGGAAUAACCCCGGGAAACCGGGGCUAAUGCCGGGUAACACCUUCCCUCGCAUGAGGGAGGGUUAAAAGAUGGCUUCUCGCUAUCACUUACAGAUGGGCCCGCGGCGCAUUAGCUAGUUGGUGAGGUAACGGCUCACCAAGGCAACGAUGCGUAGCCGACCUGAGAGGGUGAUCGGCCACACUGGGACUGAGACACGGCCCAGACUCCUACGGGAGGCAGCAGUAGGGAAUCUUCCGCAAUGGACGAAAGUCUGACGGAGCAACGCCGCGUGAACGAUGAAGGUCUUCGGAUCGUAAAGUUCUGUUGUUAGGGAAGAACAAGUGCCGUGCGAAUAGAGCGGCACCUUGACGGUACCUAACGAGGAAGCCCCGGCUAACUACGUGCCAGCAGCCGCGGUAAUACGUAGGGGGCAAGCGUUGUCCGGAAUUAUUGGGCGUAAAGCGCGCGCAGGCGGUUCCUUAAGUCUGAUGUGAAAGCCCACGGCUCAACCGUGGAGGGUCAUUGGAAACUGGGGAACUUGAGGACAGAAGAGGAGAGUGGAAUUCCACGUGUAGCGGUGAAAUGCGUAGAUAUGUGGAGGAACACCAGUGGCGAAGGCGACUCUCUGGUCUGUUUCUGACGCUGAGGUG
rnacentral:rRNA from 1 species